rnacentral:lncRNA from 1 species
UGUAUUAACAUUUCCUUCCAAUUGCAAAAAAUGUAAAAUUUACAUAUGUCUGGCUUGUACUGAAUGGUGAAAUUAAGUCAGAAAAAUAAGCUGUUAUACAUUUUUCAAAGUUCAGUACCUCCUCUACUUUUGAACGCUUUGCCAUUCAGGAAGACAUUAGUAACCAUAAUAAUUAGUCAACAGAGAAAAAUUGCGAAUGCAGGGCUUUCUUAUAACAUUCAGCAGCUCCAAUAUUUGCAUUUCUGUUUUUAUUUUUACAUAUUCUCUUUAAAUAGACCCAAGUCCCAUGGACCCUCAUGGAUCCAGCAGGCAAAUGUCUGCAUCUUCAGUUUUACCCAGUGAAAUGUCAUUGUUGGAGACCACUAUGUGCUCCUCACCUCAUUGAGCGAUUAUUCUUCAUUCGUUUUGGACCUACUGCUACUGCUUGUGAAGGAAAGGUAAGUAGGGAAGGCUGUGGUGUAGUAUUAACAAGCUAUAUGAAGAACAUAUAACUGCACUGUAACCUACAUUCGUUGGAGAAAAAUAUUUUAUUUUAGAUGGUGCUUGAUGAUUAACUGCAAUGACAAUGUGCCCUGCUAACUGUGCUGCAGUCCAAAGAUGUUGAUCCAGUGUGUAGUAGCAUUAGAUUACAUUUAGCAAUAUAUUUAUUUUGACAGUCUAUAGAUAAAUAUAAACUCUCUUUCGCUCUCUGUGUAGAUUUAUGUGUAGUUUUUUAUUCAUUAGACACUAAUUGCAUAUAUGGGGGUCAUGAACAUGAACAUGGAUAAUUACUGAUGGGACAAUAUCUCCAGAAUCCCCCAGUGCAACCGCUGCCUCUGCUUGCACUUUGUCUUGUAUGUAUAUCAUGUAAAAAAUAAUGUGUACUGUCUUUGUUCUUCUUCUUCUUCAUUUUUUAGGUGGUUCCUGGUUUUUAAGCCUGUUCCUAACUCCCCUCUGCGUGCAGGCGCGUCACGCAACAUUAUAGGAAUUAACUGUAAUAAUAUACUAAGUCUUACUUAUACAGAGAAAUAAAAUAAAUCUAAAGAGAAUUGCGAAGUGCCCA